UCCAGAUGUAUGGAUGGGGAAACUGAGGACCGGGCUGACUGGCUGAGUCACACUGGGAGGUGACAGCAGAAGCUCUCUUGAUGCCCCACAGACCCCUUCCUACCUGAGACGCAUCCAGACCUAAGGUCUGGGGCAGAGUCUGCUACAUAGCAGAUGCUCCAGGGACCAGGGGCUUCUGGCUUACUGGGGACCACCUCCUCCCAUAGCACCCCUACUUUCCCUGUAGCUCUAGGGUCCAAAGACAUAAAAGGUUUCCAGUGGGAUGCCUCUCUCCCAGCGUUCAGGCCUGAUACUCAGCUCCUGCUCCCACCCCCAUUCCUGGCACAGACCUGCCUGGCACUGCUAGCUGCCUCCUUCCAACCCAAAGGCUCCCCCUUCCAGGCCUCCCAGAUGGGUGCAUCCAUGCGUGGGUGGGGGUGGCACAAGGCAAGCCUGGGCUUCAGCCAUCACUGGUCCCCCCAGUAGUUACUGGGCUGGGUGGGGGGCAGAAAUGGCCCUGCCAGAGGUUCCAAGAGACCUGGAGCUCCUAUGUCUGUCCCCCUCCCACAGAGGUGAGGGGGCAGGGGCCCGUCUUGCCAGCAGCCCCUCCCCCAGGGCUGCUUCCUGUGUCUCACUUUUCUACCCUGCUCAAGGCCAGAGGCCAACACUGAGUCUUUCUCACCUGAGCCGCAGAAAGAGGACAAAGGCCACCAGGAGGGCCACCAGGGAGAUGCAGUGGCCCAGGUAGUUGAUGAUGACAGCGACAUGGUAGUGUACCUUGCUCUUCUUCUGAAGUAGGGGAGAGGAACAGAGGUGAGGCUCCUAUAUAGCUGCACCCCUGCACCCGCUCGCCAUGUAAGGACACCCCCCUCAGCUGGUGGAGAUGGAGUUGGUACUAACGGUAGUUAUUCCCCUUCCCGAACCCGGGCUGGGUGUCGAGCAUGGCCCUGGAGUGGGGCUGUCCAACUUGAGCCUGUGUCUGUCUCUGAAUCCCAUGCUCUGCCCAUUGCUCCAUGCGGUUGGACAAAUACCAGCUAACUCGGGUCUCCACGUCCCACGGGGUUCCCUACUCCACGUGCACAAAGGUGUGUGCACGCUUCUUACAUGCAAGUUUCUGCUCUGCCCAAAUACCACAUGGCCCUCGUGACCGCGGACACCAACCCUUUAGGACUCUUUUCCUCACUCACUUCCGAGUGGAACCACUAGGGAUGAUUACCCCCAAAUCCCUCCUGCUGCAGUGGGAGCCUGCUCCUAUCAGCCAUGGGAGGGAUGGCAGGUGCACCCACAGAGCCAUUACAGGCCAUAAAAAAAAAAUCUCUCUUCGCUCUGUAACUCACUUUCCAGGCCCUGCCCCCUGGCCCUGGGGAAGAAAUGGGCUCCCUUCCCAGGAUUGUAUCAAAGUCCCCGAUGUUACCACUGCCUUCAUUUCAUAGACUAAAGGAAGCUGAGAGAUGUGGUGGUCUCCUGUUUCCAAGGUUCUGGAGUGGGGCCAGGCCAUGAGUCACACAGAAACUGGCUAGUGUUGAGAAAAGGUUGAAGAGGCUGCAUAAUUAGCCCGAGCUGCCCGGCCAGCAAUGGGAAUCCAGGUCUGCUUGGCCUUCUAGAUCCCCUCCUCCCCAGUGCAUUUCUAGGAGACAAACGGGCUGAGAACAGGCACUCUCACUGUCUGGGGCCCAGGAUCCUCAGAGGGCUUCUGCAGGGAGGAUGGGGGCUGGUGAAGGGUUUUCUCCACCAAGGCUGAAAGGGGAGAACUGGGCCAAAGCAUUCAGGGGGCUGCUUCUGUGUGACUCCUCCAGCUGGAAGGCCCUGGCUGGUCGGAGCCCUGGGGCAGUCUGAGAGAUGGCAACCAGCCACAGUGUUACAGUGCAGAGAGCCCAAGACAGCAUGGUCACCCCAGGAGACAGCCAGCUACACUCAGGAGAUAGCCUGACACCCUUCGAGACGGUCAGCAAUAGCCUGAGAUGUGGCCAAUGACACCCAGAGAGAGCAGCCAGCAAUAUCCUAAGAGGCACCCAGUGAUACUCCAAGAGACCCUACUGAUGGCCUCCAUUAAUGGCAGAAGCAGCUGGGACAGCUGAAGGACAAAUGGACAGCGCCAGCCCCUGGGAACCUGACCAGCACUCUGUCCCUGUUCAGCUUGGAGACCUAGUGCCCGCUGGUAGCCUGAGGAAGGUGUCAUGGUGUGACACUGGGCACAGGCCACUCCACUGUGCUCUUCAAUGGCCAGAAUCCAAUAAGAAAUUAGUGCCUGGCCAAUUUCGACCACGACUCUGAAAGACACACCUUGUCCCAAGUGGUGGCAGUGUCAGACCUAUCCCGAAGCCAUGGGUCCCCACCACUCCUGCCGAGCCUCCCAGCCCUGGUCUCUCUCCCACUGUGGUUCUUCCUCACCAGCCGGUUUCCUGGGGUACUCCCUCACCCCACCAGUGGGCACUCCAGCCCCUUGCUCCUCGAAGUGUGGUCCCCGAACCAGCAACACCACCAUCACCUGGGAGCUUGCAGGAAUCUGAAGACUUGAAACAUCUCUUAAGCCCCGCCCCAGACUCACUGAGCCUGAAUCUUCAUUUCAGCAAGACGCCCCAGUGAUUCUCAAGCGUUUCAGAAAUUCUGGUCCUUGAACCAACACCGCUGUGAGCAGUGAAUCUCAGCCCACGAGCCUACACCUCAGGAUCCCUUUCUUAUCAUAUCAAGAUGUGCCUUCCCAGGACGUGACCGGGCUCCCCAGCUCAGCAGAGUGUAGGAGGGGGAGCCGCACGGAAGUGUCAUAGGAGGUGGGGGGGGGGAGUGGCUGGGGAGGAUGUCACUGCUGUGAAGGGAGACAGUGUCUGGAGGGUGUUGAUAGGCAGCAUGGGGAUCAGUGCAGGGUGGUACUGAGUGCAGGGGGGUCAGUGCCAUUCCCGGGGCUGGACCAUGAACAGGUCCAGCUUCCCAGAUGGGGGCCUGUCCCCUGGUGGUGGUGGUGGCUGUAGGCAGUCUCCUUCCUCCCUGGCCUGGCCUCUGGGUGCCCUCACAGUCCCAUUUCACAUUUUACAGGGCAGCCCUUCUGCAAAUCCAUUAUCUGCAAUCCCCUGGGGCACUGGUGCUUAAUUAGGGCUUAGCCCAGGCCUGAAGCUGAGAAACCGGCUGCUCCAUUAAUUGGAGACUUUUCUCUUCCUCUUCUCGAUAACUAGGGAGUGGAUGGAGAAUCUUGAGAGUGGGGAGGGGGGCGAGGCUAGAGGCUGGCGGAAAGGAAUGGCAUUUUCAGUAAUUAAAUUAAUUGAUUACCCAGAGUGCCAGGCAAGCAGGGGCUCCCCGGGAAAGGGGUAGGUGGCAGCCCCCACCGAGUCACCAACCAGAGGAAGGGGGUGCUAGUGUUACCUGGUGUUCUCAUCAAUGCCCCCUAUCCCCCAGGUGUACCCUACAACCUCCCCUGGCCCCAGGUGCGAGAGAGGCAGAGGCAUGGCAGGUGGAUGGAGUGCCCUCCACAGGCAGACGUGACCCUCCCUCUACCAGGAGGCAGACACUGUCUUACUCUGCGCCCUUUGACAGAGAGGGAAGCCAGGCCUUGGUGAGGCUAAGCUACCUGCCCAGGGUCACACAGCACAUGUGCUGGGACCGGAGUUCACACUGCAAACCACCUGCCUCCAAAGCCUGUGCUGUUCCUGUUAUACUUCCAAAGAGGGACUGAUGAGAAGCUGGUGUUCCCCAACACUCCUCCUCCUCCUCCUAACCCCGCUGGUAGAGGGAGAGACCCCUGUCAUGAGCAGAAGGGGAUGGAGCUAAGGACAGUGCCAACUAGAAGGAUGGGGCUGAGAUUAGAGCAGGAGGGAUUCGGGUGAACCAUUGAGCUUCUCCAGACGUUCAGGGGGCUCCAAAGCAGGGGGAAGGUGGGGAGCAGCUGUGGCUCUCCAGCUUUGCUCCUGUUCAAGAAGGCGACAGACACCUGCUCCUCAGGGGUGGGGGGAGAGUUGUUUUAAGCCAGGAGGCUGGUGACCUGAUGUGCAGUCGGAGAUACAUCAUCUGCCUCAGGCUCUGCAGACCUAGCAGGACACAGUGGGGUGCAGUAGAGGGCUGGAGACUUCUUGCCUUAGCUGCACCUUCCCCCUACCAUCUCCCUGUGGGCGUGAGCUGUGGUCUAAAAGUUGCCCACAGCGCAGACCUGCCUUUCUGCCUGUGAGCCCCAUCUCCUGUGUGUCUGGGAAGGAGCUCCCCACCAGGCUGAGUGUUCUUGCCCAUCCCUCCUCCCCCGCCACCAAGCCCAGAUCUUCUGGCCCAACUAUGUUUCCUGAUCCCACUUCAUUCCCCCAAUGGAGUGCGGGUGCCCUCAUCUGCAACCCCAGGACUUCCCAGGCUGGCUUAUUGUGUGUGGGCCUAGCACCCUGCUAAGGUCAGGUCAUUGGGUGGGGGACAAGCCAACCUACUGUGGCCUGUGGGGGACUAUGUGGCUGGCCUGUGAGUAGAGAUGCCAGCAAACCUCUCUCUGGCAUCCCUAGUAACUCACCCCGGUGAAGCAGCCCCACCAAAGAAUGUGCCUUACUUCUAGGCUAAACUUUGCCCUGUCUGUGCAACUUCAGGAAGGAGAGGGCAAGCUCCCAAUGGCUCAGUGACAAGAAGCCAGGCAGCCUGGGGAAGGGCAUCACUAAAGCACAAAGGGCCAGGUGGGGUGCAAGGUGGGGAAAGCUGCUCUUCCUCCAUCCACCUCGCUUCACACAGAGCACUUGGUGGUGGGCAGAAGAGAGCCCGGACUCUGAAGCCCAGGUUCCAGGCUGUGACUCACUUUGGCUGUGUAACCUUGCCCAAGUCACUCCCUCUUUCUGGGACUGUCUCCCCACCUGCAAGGUGAAUGGGUUGCACUAGAUCUGAGUUAUUCACUUUUUCCCCCAUCAGAAAGUCUCCCGUGGCUCUUGUUCAAAACAGAUUCCCAUGGGACGCCCGGGUGGCUCAGUUGGUUAGGAUCUGUCUUCAGCUCAGGUCAUCAUCCCAAGGUCUGGGAUUGAACCCGCAUAGGGCUCCCUACUCAGCGGGAGCCUGCUUUUCCCUCUACCAUUCCCCCUGCUUGUGCUUUAUUUCUCUCUCACUCUCUUCCUGUCAAAUAAAUUAAAUCUUAAAAAAAAAAAAAAAAACAUAUUCCCG